GACGAACGCUGGCGGCGUGCCUAAUACAUGCAAGUCGAACGCAUUUUCUUUCACCGUAGCUUGCUACACCGAAAGAAAAUGAGUGGCGAACGGGUGAGUAACACGUGGGUAACCUGCCCAUCAGCGGGGGAUAACACUUGGAAACAGGUGCUAAUACCGCAUAAUUCCAUUUACCGCAUGGUAGAUGGGUGAAAGGCGCUUUUGCGUCACUGAUGGAUGGACCCGCGGUGCAUUAGCUAGUUGGUGGGGUAACGGCCUACCAAGGCUGCGAUGCAUAGCCGACCUGAGAGGGUGAUCGGCCACACUGGGACUGAGACACGGCCCAGACUCCUACGGGAGGCAGCAGUAGGGAAUCUUCGGCAAUGGACGCAAGUCUGACCGAGCAACGCCGCGUGAGUGAAGAAGGUUGUCGGAUCGUAAAACUCUGUUGUUAGAGAAGAACAAGGAUGAGAGUGGAAAGUUCAUCCCUUGACGGUAGCUAACCAGAAAGCCACGGCUAACUACGUG
rnacentral:rRNA from 1 species